ACAUAACAGAAAGGUGCUCAG
rnacentral:piRNA from 1 species